AAAAAAAUCGCCAACAAAAACAGACAAAACUCAAUAAAGUAUUAUUAGGAACAAAUGCAAAAGGGGAUACAGUUUCGAGAAAAGAGAAACUCAACCAAAGAAACGACCAAAAUCCCCUGAUGGUAUAAUACUUGACUAGGAUGGCAGCAGGCAUAGUACAAACAAUUUGACAAGUGGUCAACGUUGUGUUAAAUUGUGCAUUGGUAAGGGGUUAUGACCAGAGACCAUAAAAAAUUCAUGCAGCCAAGUUGUCAUGAUAAAGUUUUCGUUUCGUUGGCAAUAUAACCGCAGCAAAUUAGUUUGGAAAAUUUAUGCCAGAAAAAUGUUAAUGUUGUAAAAUUCAGUUAUCAAAAUGUCUUUAAAAA